rnacentral:rRNA from 1 species
UCCGGAGGGGGCAAGCGUUGUUCGGAAUCACUGGGCGUAAAGCGCGUGUAGGCGGCCUCUUAAGUCUGGUGUGAAAGCCCGGGGCUCACCCCCGGAAGGGCACUGGAUACUGGGAGGCUAGAGUACCGGAGAGGAGGGUGGAAUUCCUGGUGUAGCGGUGAAAUGCGUAGAUAUCAGGAGGAACACCGGUGGCGAAGGCGGCCCUCUGGACGGCUACUGACGCUGAGACGCGAAAGCGUGGGGAGAAAACAGG